GAUUACCCAAUAAAUAAAAUUAUUGGGUGGUUGUGAUCUCAAUAACCAUCAAAACGGUAUUUCCUGUUUCUGAGAGACCUGCAUUGAUUAGUCAGGGUUCACAAGGAAGGAGAAAUAGAAAAGGAGACAACGUAGAAGACAAAGAGGCUAUCUCUAACUUGAACUUGUUCAGCAAAUUUUAUCUGCAUUAGUAGCCAUGGCAACUUCAGGAUAAAUAUUGAGUGUUGGCCUUCCAACUGUUAAAAACCUGUAAGUUUCCUAUAAGUCCAUAGUGUAUCUCCAUAGAGACACAAGGUGCAAAACAAUAGAAACUUUUCAUCUGGUUCCAAGGAAAAAGUUUAAAAUAAAAUUAAAUAGAAGAUAGUGCA
rnacentral:lncRNA from 12 species